AGCAGAAUAGCUCAGAUGGUAGAGCACUUAUAUCGCACUAUAAGGAGUCACAGGUUCAAGUCCUGUUUUCGCUA
rnacentral:tRNA from 1 species